rnacentral:lncRNA from 1 species
UAUAAUCUUUUUCUUUCUUUUCUUUUAAAAUCAUCAACUUUCUUAUACAUAAUAUUUCCAUUCUCCAAUAUACCAAUAAAACUCGCAUCAAAGGCACCUUUAUCUCGCGAGAGUACCUCCUCUUUUGUACCUCCAUAAUCUCGCUUUAUAGUGGUACCUCUCCAAAAUCCUUUAAUCCUUCAACAAUCUUUGGCAAUGGUUUCUCCCUCAACCUAUCUCGAUUCCGUUCAUGGUUAGGAGGUACUGUUAGAAAUUAUACAACUUUCCUUCUAUCUUCGCUACGUACCCUUGCAUAAGCAGAACCAUCGUCAAGUACUUUUGUUUCCAUCUGUGUUACCGUAAUAUAAGGUUGUCCUAAAAUCAACGGAUAAGACGUUGUAUCUUGAACAAAGAAAUGUUGCUCCGUCACAACAUCCCCAAUCCAAAUUUUGACAUCUAGACAAGCUCUAUAUAAUUCGUCCCAUGUGUUAUUAGCUGCUCGUAUUGCCCAUCCAUGUUCCAUAUCAAUUGGCCAUUUUUGCUUCUUAUAAAGAUCUUUAGACAUGAGAUUUAUUUCAGAAUCAUGGUCGACUAAAGCAACAAUUGGUUCUUCUAUAUCUCCUACUUUCAUCAAUACCUCAAUAGUUGCCCUUGCCCAAUGCUUUCAAGUAUAAUGGCUCAAAGUUUCUAUUUCCUUAUCACUAUAAUCUUUAAAACAUACUCGUUGAUUAUAUCCAUUCUUUUCAUUUGUUGGUUGCUUGUAACCAAUAUCAACCUCUUCUUCAUCUUUAUAUAUUCUUGCAUCAAUAGCAUGACUCAUUCCAGUUUCGUCCAUUAAUUGCCUCUUUCGCUUAAUGCUGUCAAUGAUAACAUCAUG